ensembl:lncRNA
ACUUCUGAGAACUUGAACAUCACAUCUCUGCCACUUCUGUCAUUGCAGCUAUGAAUCUGUCCACUAUUUUCUUCAUGCUUCACAAUGGAGUUGAUGUCAGCCCAUAAACCACAGGCUAAAUUAGCAACUGUGCAGAGGAAAUCUGUUAUCAUGUGGCAUGGUACAUGCUCAUCUCAGGUUUGAUAUUCCCAUGGAGACUUGAAUUAUGAUUCCAUCAUUUGCCUACUUUUAGGACUUCUCUUCCCUAUCAGAAAAGUCACCACUGUUCCCAUAAGCAGGGCUCUAAGAACCAGAGCAGUCACAAUAGCCAUGAAUGAGAAGGUACACAGGGGCAGCUCUUGUUAGUGAAAGGAAAGAAAGCAAGUAUGAGGCCUCUGACCUUCAGCUCUCCAUCUCGACCCUGUUCUAGUUAUCCAACAGAUCCCCAUUCCCUCUUUAUAGUCUCUGUGCUCACUCCCAAUCCUUACCACAUCUUGGUGUAAUGGGCUCAUCUCAUGAUUCACACGACUUCUAUAUCUUUGCUCUUCCCCAGGGCAUCACCACACUGCUCUUCUAUGGAAGGUUCCAUCCCCUGCAGGCCUAUGCUGUACCACCUCCAUGUCCUGGGUCUGAUUGCUCUCAUACCUCUGCAAGGUUUAGCCCUCUGGGACCAAUCCUCAGAGGACAGGAGCUCCAGUCUUAGAACACAUGAAACAUUUUCUGUCCUCAUCUGUACAAGAUUUCCUUCCCAUAGUCCAUCUGUGAGAGGAGUGACUUCCCACAUUCAAUCUCCAGGAUGAAGAUAUUUGUUCCCAAGGCUCUCCCCCUGCUGAUGCAAAGUAUGCUGGUCCUGAUAACCAGUUGAAAGGCUGAGUGGUGUUGUCCAUAAGGAAAGUACUUUAGCAACAAAAGACUCCAUCCACAGGGGUGGGAGAUCAGGAAACUCUGUCUUCUCCCUUGUCCAGCUAGAACCUAUGUUUGCUUCUUUAUAUUACUUCGUAACCUUUCCCCUUGUUCCCUAAUCCCAGCUAUCCUUGGGGGCUUUUUUUGUGGAGCAUCACAGGUUCCUAGUGUGGGGUUAACACCUGAAGACUCAUUAUACCUAG